rnacentral:lncRNA from 1 species
UAUUUAUCCUCUAAGCUUCUCCAAAUGCCCAGAAUCCUGCAGGAUGGAAUACAGAGAGAAGAAAAGAGAUGAGCUAUUUGCUUCUUCAUGGUCAUCUUCUGGAGGCUGCUGUACAUACAAACCACAGCACAGCAUGGAAAGAGAAAGGGAGACAAAACAGUUCACAUCCCAGCAAUUCAUCAUGGCGGAAAAUUCAUCCUGGGAAUCCCAGUCUUCUCCCACUCUCUCUUCCAAGUGAAAAAGGAAGUCUUUUCCUUUUUGAAGAAACCAACCCACGGGGCUUUUGGGACGACACUUCUUUUUCCAACCAUGUUCAAGUAGCAAACAUUUCAAAGGUUACCAUUCAAUGACAGAAAAGGUUGCAUGAGAAAAAGAAGACUUGCAUGGAAAGCACGAGGGUUCUAGCUUCAAGACUCAGUCUGGAAUAGAUUUCUUGGUUAUCCAUGAGUACCCAACUCAUUUACCCAGCACACAGGUCCCACUAAAAUCAGUGCAGAUACUUCUGCUUUGGGGGGAUUUACAACUAUCUUCUGAAUUUUUCAGUGCCUCAAACUAAAGAAUAUGUUACUUUGGAAGAGUGUUAUGAGGCUAAAUUAAUUGUUUGCGCAACAUUUAGCUUGGAAGAAGAUAUAGGUCAGAAACUGAGGGAGUUAGGUACUGCAGCCUUAUAACCUCAUACUUGGUCCCUGCUGGAGUUCCACUCCUGUCUAACACAGCUUUUUUUAUGGACUCUUAAGGCAGCACUAGCACCACUUUUGCAUGGAAAUCUACAAAUUUUAAUUGUUAGACCUCUGUGCCCUGUAUCUCCCUCGUUCUUUCUUCCUUUCUGGCCACAGUGUUACAUUAGAGAUGUCUCUCCUAUAGUAUUUGAAUAUUUGAUGUUUAAACUGUCUUUUUACAUGAAGUAAAGUUACAUGAACCUGAAGAUAAGAAAAGAGGACCGCUGAGGCUUUUUCCAUCUGUAUUUAUCUCCCUAUCUCUAUCUAAUCUCCGCCUCCAUCUCCAUUUCUAUCUCCAUCUUCCUAUAUCUAUAUCAUCUCCACCUGCGAUUCUCUGGCAAAGCCACAAAUCUUCUUUUCUUAGUUUGCUAGUUUGUUAAAUUGGUAUAAGGAAACCACUUGCAUGUAGAUAUGAUGUGAAUAAUGUUUCUUAAGUGCUUUGGGACCCUCAGCUUUGGAUGAGAGAUGACUGCUCUCAUCACCCCCUCUGCCUGUCUGACCAUAGAGAUAUGUGACUUUUUUCAACUUUCUCCAGUGAAAACUCUUAAAUUUUAGCAUCUUUUUUUUUUUUUUUUGGCAUCAUAUCUCACUGCUAUCUUCUCUGCCCUAUUGGCUUCCAUUUCUUUAAUCAUCAGCACCCUAACCCCAAUUUAUUUUUCCUAACAUCUCCUCUGCUGGUGCGUCUGUCUAUUAACACCUCUGCUCUGCCUGCAAAUACAGCUGCAUCAACUCCCAUCUCUUUUACAUCUUAUUACAGCAGCUCUUUCUGAGCUGGCCUCCCCAGGAUGAAGAUUCCUAGAUACAAGUUUUCAUAUACUAUCACUGUCUGAUUUUCUCCUAUGUGCCAAAAAGCUCCACUGCAGCACUCAAUCAACAAACACUCUAUUCAGUUCCAUUACCGUCCCAUGGAGUUGCUUCCGACUUCGUGCCCUUCAUCUCCCUUCCUGCAUCUUUCUUGUGCCCCUUUUUUUCCUACAGCACUGCCCCUUCUCUCCACAAAUAGCAGCACUCUUGGUUUGCCAUUGGAAGCAGACUUCCUGCGGCUCCCUGUCUCAUCAGCUUCUCAUUUCAAGUAAUUUAAAAUGUAAUUUAAAAUCUCUCUAUUUCCUCCAGACUAUUAAUUUCUCUCUCCUUACUCUUCUAUAGAUGUCACUCUGUGUUGCGCUAUUCAGUAAGAUGCGUCUGUUGUAAAAAUCUACCACGGUGUUUUUAUUCCAUAUUCUUGUUUUGUAUUAUCAUUUUUAAUGAUUCUUUGUAGGAAAGAUGAAAUCUCAGCACAGCAUCUAGCCAAAGCACAAGCAGUCACACAGGACAUUCUGGCAUUUGCAUUGCCUUUGUUCCAUUCUUCUCCUGUGGCAUUUAGAACUGUAGAGGGAUUAUUGUGAACGGUCUAAGAGUAUAUAAGUAGGGUAACAGGAAGAGAAUUAUUUCUGGAAAUUGGGAAGUGUGAGGCAGGAAGCCGUGUUUAGUCCUGGUCCUGAUAUGUGCUGCGCGAGCCCUCAUAGGUCUCACUCCUCUUAGACAGAGAUUAAAGAACUCGCCACCCUGCAAACCUGGCCUUCUUUUACUAGCAAUUUCUUUGGGGACAAUGUGCCCCCUGUCGCUGGAGUCACUUGAAACCAAACUUCCCAAAGCUGUAGAAAUAUGUAAUAAACAGUUCUGGAUUGGUUCA